rnacentral:rRNA from 1 species
AUUGAACGCUGGCGGCAGGCCUAACACAUGCAAGUCGAACGAGUGGCGGACGGGUGAGUAAUGUCUGGGAAACUGCCUGAUGGAGGGGGAUAACUACUGGAAACGGUAGCUAAUACCGCAUACCAUCAGAUGUGCCCAGAUGGGAGUAGCUAGUUGGUGGGGUAACGGCUCACCAAGGCGACGAUCCCUAGCUGGGCUGAGAGGAUGACCGUCCACACUGGCACUGAGACACGGUCCGGACUCCUAGGGUCGGAAGCAGUGGGGAAUAUUGCACAAUGGGCGCAAGCCUGAUUGAGCCAUGCCGCGUGUAUGAAGAAGGCCUUCGGGUUGUAAAGUACUUUCAGCGGGGAGGCGUUACCCGCAGAAGAAGCACCGGCUAACUCCGUGCCAGCAGCCGCGGUAAUUC